CCUACGGGUGGCUGCAGUGAGGAAUAUUGGUCAAUGGACGAGAGUCUGAACCAGCCAAGUAGCGUGAAGGAUGACUGCCCUAUGGGUUGUAAACUUCUUUUAUAUGGGACUACCAUGUUCCACGUGUGGGAUUUUGUAUGUACCAUAUGAAUAAGGAUCGGCUAACUCCGUGCCAGCAGCCGCGGUAAUCCGGCGGAUCCGCGCGUUAUCCGGAUUUAUUGGGUUUAAAGGGAGCGUAGGUGGAUUGUUAAGUCAGUUGUGAACGUUUGCGGCUCAACCGUAAAAAUGCAGGGGAAACUUGAAGUAGUGAGUAAAGUAGAGGUGGGCGGAAUGGGGGGUGGAGCGGGGAAAUGCUUAGAGAUCAAGAAGAACUCCGAUGGCGAAGGCAGCUCAAUGGACUGCAAAUGACACUGAGGCUCGAAAGUGUGGGUAUCAAACAGGAGUAGAUACACCGAGGAGGC
rnacentral:rRNA from 1 species